CAGCACCUCAAGUGGUCAGGAUGAUUAUUGGGCCUAAAGCAUCCGUAGCCGGCUCUGUAAGUUUUCGGUUAAAUCUGUAUGCUCAACAUACAGGCUGCCGGGAAUACUGCAGAGCUAGGGAGUGGGAGAGGUAGACGGUACUCGGUAGGAAGGGGUAAAAUCCUUUGAUCUAUUGAUGACCACCUGUGGCGAAGGCGGUCUACCAGAACACGUCCGACGGUGAGGGAUGAAAGCUGGGGCAGCAAACCGGAUUAGAUACCCGAGUAGUCC
rnacentral:rRNA from 1 species